rnacentral:misc_RNA from 1 species
GAUGAAUAGAGUCCGCCCACUGCCCUGUCCUAUAGCCCAUUCUGGCUGCAAAACCCGAAUGGUGUACCUAGGAAACUCAAAAUACAACCUCUAAAUAAACAUCUAAACAAUUUAUAAUUGCAAUAUAAAAUGUUCACAACAGAAUUUGUGGGACGAACAACUCACUUCCCUCCCUUCUUGGCAGCUGAUUUUGUGACCUUAGCUCCAGUUGGGUCCUUCUUCUCCACGCUCUUGAUAACACCAACUGCAACA